rfam:Triticum urartu cultivar G1812 contig923439, whole genome shotgun sequence.
CACAUACUCCCUCCGUCCCGAAUUGCUUGUCGCAAGUAUGGAUGUAUCUAAAUGUAUUUUAGUUCUAGAUACAUCCAUUUCUGCGACGAGUAAUUUGGAACGGAGGGAGUACUAU